CCGGAGCUAACGCGUUAAGUCGACCGCCUGGGGAGUACGGCCGCAAGGUUAAAACUCAAAUGAAUUGACGGGGGCCCGCACAAGCGGUGGAGCAUGUGGUUUAAUUCGAUGCAACGCGAAGAACCUUACCUGGUCUUGACAUCCACGGAAGUUUUCAGAGAUGAGAAUGUGCCUUCGGGAACCGUGAGACAGGUGCUGCAUGGCUGUCGUCAGCUCGUGUUGUGAAAUGUUGGGUUAAGUCCCGCAACGAGCGCAACCCUUAUCCUUUGUUGCCAGCGGUCCGGCCGGGAACUCAAAGGAGACUGCCAGUGAUAAACUGGAGGAAGGUGGGGAUGACGUCAAGUCAUCAUGGCCCUUACGACCAGGGCUACACACGUGCUACAAUGGCGCAUACAAAGAGAAGCGACCUCGCGAGAGCAAAGGGGCCUCAUAAAGUGCGUCGUAGUCCGGAUUGGAGUCUGCAACUCGACUCCAUGAAGUCGGAAUCGCUAGUAAUCGUGGAUCAGAAUGCCACGGUGAAUACGUUCCCGGGCCUUGUACACACCGCCCGUCACACCAUGGGAGUGGGUUGCAAAAGAA
rnacentral:rRNA from 1 species